AAAUUGAAGAGUUUGAUCAUGGCUCAGAUUGAACGCUGGCGGCAGGCCUAACACAUGCAAGUCGAGCGGAAACGAGUUAUCAGAACCUUCGGGGAACGAUAACGGCGUCGAGCGGCGGACGGGUGAGUAAUGCCUAGGAAAUUGCCCUGAUGUGGGGGAUAACCAUUGGAAACGAUGGCUAAUACCGCAUGAUGCCUACGGGCCAAAGAGGGGGACCUUCGGGCCUCUCGCGUCAGGAUAUGCCUAGGUGGGAUUAGCUAGUUGGUGAGGUAAGGGCUCACCAAGGCGACGAUCCCUAGCUGGUCUGAGAGGAUGAUCAGCCACACUGGAACUGAGACACGGUCCAGACUCCUACGGGAGGCAGCAGUGGGGAAUAUUGCACAAUGGGCGCAAGCCUGAUGCAGCCAUGCCGCGUGUGUGAAGAAGGCCUUCGGGUUGUAAAGCACUUUCAGUCGUGAGGAAGGUAGUGUAGUUAAUAGCUGCAU
rnacentral:rRNA from 1 species